AAGUCGUAACAAGGUUUCCGUAGGUGAACCUGCGGAAGGAUCAUUACCGAUUUUUAGCGGACCUGAUCUUAGAUCAUGGUCUCGCGAAAACUUGUAUUUAAAACCCCACUCUUUUUAACUUUAAAAAAAUAAAUCAUGAUACAUGAAUUUGAAAAAAAAGAUCACUUUCAACAACGGAUCUCUUGGCUCUC
rnacentral:misc_RNA from 1 species